rnacentral:rRNA from 1 species
CCCUUAGAUGUUCUGGGCCGCACACGCGCUACACUGAAGGAGGCAGCGUGUACUCCUGGAUCGAAAGAUUUGGGUAACCCGCGAAUCUCCUUCGUGCUAGGGAUUGAGGUUUGCAAUUAUCCUUCAUGAACGAGGAAUUCCCAGUAAGUGCAAGUCAUAAGCUUGCGCUGACUACGUCCCUGCCCUUUGUACACACCGCCCGUCGCUACUACCGAUUGAAGGAUUUAGUGAGGACUUCGGACUGGGACCGAUGCGGCUUUCGGGCUGCGUCGGUAUUCUGGAAAGAUGUCCAAACUGUAUCAUUUAGAGGAAGUAAAAGUCGUAACA